GAUGAACGCUGGCGGCGUGCCUAAUACAUGCAAGUCGAGCGAACGGACGAGGAACUUGCUACUCUGAGGUUAGCGGCGAACGGGUGAGUAACACGUGGAUAACCUACCUAUAAGACUGGGAUAACUUCGGGAAACCCGAGCUAAUACCGGAUAAUAUAUUGCACCGCAUGGUUCAAUAGUGAAAGACGGUCUUGCUGUCACUUAUAGAUGGAUCCGCGCCGCAUUAGCUAGUUGGUAAGGUAACGGCUUACCAAGGCAACGAUGCUUAGCCGACCUGAGAGGGUGAUCGGCCGCACUGGAACUGAGACACGGUCCCGACUCCUACGUGUGGCAGCAGUAGGGAAUCUUCCGCAAUGGGCGAAAGCCUGACGGAGCAACGCCUCGUGAGUGAUGAAGGUCUUCGGAUCGUAAAACUCUGUUAUUAGGGAAGAACAGAUUUGUAAGUAACUAUGCACGUCUUGACGGUACCUAAUCAGAAAGCCACGGCUAACUACGUG
rnacentral:rRNA from 1 species